rnacentral:rRNA from 1 species
UACGAAGGGGGCUAGCGUUGUUCGGAAUCACUGGGCGUAAAGCGCACGUAGGCGGCUCUUUAAGUCAGGGGUGAAAUCCCGGGGCUCAACCUCGGAACUGCCUUUGAUACUGCAAAUCUCGAGUCCGAUAGAGGUGGGUGGAAUUCCUAGUGUAGAGGUGAAAUUCGUAGAUAUUAGGAAGAACACCGGUGGCGAAGGCGGCCCACUGGAUCGGUACUGACGCUGAGGUGCGAAAGCGUGGGGAGCAAACAGG